GAUGAACGCUGGCGGCGUGCCUAAUACAUGCAAGUCGAGCGAACGGACGAGAAGCUUGCUUCUCUGAUGUUAGCGGCGGACGGGUGAGUAACACGUGGAUAACCUACCUAUAAGACUGGGAUAACUUCGGGAAACCGGAGCUAAUACCGGAUAAUAUUUUGAACCGCAUGGUUCAAAAGUGAAAGACGGUCUUGCUGUCACUUAUAGAUGGAUCCGCGCUGCAUUAGCUAGUUGGUAAGGUAACGGCUUACCAAGGCAACGAUGCAUAGCCGACCUGAGAGGGUGAUCGGCCACACUGGAACUGAGACACGGUCCAGACUCCUACGGGAGGCAGCAGUAGGGAAUCUUCCGCAAUGGGCGAAAGCCUGACGGAGCAACGCCGCGUGAGUGAUGAAGGUCUUCGGAUCGUAAAACUCUGUUAUUAGGGAAGAACAUAUGUGUAAGUAACUGUGCACAUCUUGACGGUACCUAAUCAGAAAGCCACGGCUAACUACGUGCCAGCAGCCGCGGUAAUACGUAGGUGGCAAGCGUUAUCCGGAAUUAUUGGGCGUAAAGCGCGCGUAGGCGGUUUUUUAAGUCUGAUGUGAAAGCCCACGGCUCAACCGUGGAGGGUCAUUGGAAACUGGAAAACUUGAGUGCAGAAGAGGAAAGUGGAAUUCCAUGUGUAGCGGUGAAAUGCGCAGAGAUAUGGAGGAACACCAGUGGCGAAGGCGACUUUCUGGUCUGUAACUGACGCUGAUGUGCGAAAGCGUGGGGAUCAAACAGGAUUAGAUACCCUGGUAGUCCACGCCGUAAACGAUGAGUGCUAAGUGUUAGGGGGUUUCCGCCCCUUAGUGCUGCAGCUAACGCAUUAAGCACUCCGCCUGGGGAGUACGACCGCAAGGUUGAAACUCAAAGGAAUUGACGGGGACCCGCACAGGCGGUGGAGCAUGUGGUUUAAUUCGAAGCAACGCGAAGAACCUUACCAAAUCUUGACAUCCUUUGACAACUCUAGAGAUAGAGCCUUCCCCUUCGGGGGACAAAGUGACAGGUGGUGCAUGGUUGUCGUCAGCUCGUGUCGUGAGAUGUUGGGUUAAGUCCCGCAACGAGCGCAACCCUUAAGCUUAGUUGCCAUCAUUAAGUUGGGCACUCUAAGUUGACUGCCGGUGACAAACCGGAGGAAGGUGCGGAUGACGUCAAAUCAUCAUGCCCCUUAUGAUUUGGGCUACACACGUGCUACAAUGGACAAUACAAAGGGCAGCGAAACCGCGAGGUCAAGCAAAUCCCAUAAAGUUGUUCUCAGUUCGGAUUGUAGUCUGCAACUCGACUACAUGAAGCUGGAAUCGCUAGUAAUCGUAGAUCAGCAUGCUACGGUGAAUACGUUCCCGGGUCU
rnacentral:rRNA from 1 species